CUCUGUGACUCCUACGGGAGGCAGCAGUGGGGAAUAUUGCACAAUGGGCGCAAGCCUGAUGCAGCCAUGCCGCGUGUGUGAAGAAGGCCUUCGGGUUGUAAAGCACUUUCAGUUGUGAGGAAGGUGGUGUCGUUAAUAGCGGCAUCAUUUGACGUUAGCAACAGAAGAAGCACCGGCUAACUCCGUGCCAGCAGCCGCGGUAAUACGGAGGGUGCGAGCGUUAAUCGGAAUUACUGGGCGUAAAGCGCAUGCAGGUGGUUUGUUAAGUCAGAUGUGAAAGCCCGGGGCUCAACCUCGGAACUGCAUUUGAAACUGGCAGACUAGAGUACUGUAGAGGGGGUAGAAUUUCAGGUGUAGCGGUGAAAUGCGUAGAGAUCUGAAGGAAUACCGGUGGCGAAGGCGGCCCCCUGGACAGAUACUGACACUCAGAUGCGAAAGCGUGGGGAGCAAACAGGAUUAGAUACCCUGGGAG
rnacentral:rRNA from 1 species